GCGCCUUGACCCGGAUCUUCUGGAGCAGUACGACAGCCGCCCCGAUUUACACUCGACGGGGUCGAGUUUUUCUCACCCGGGAGGAGUUGAUGGGGACAUCAGCUAGGUCCCCAUUUUAUUUAUUGUUAUUUCUGGGUUUAUUUGUGUUUAGGGAUUUAUUUGUGGUUUAUUUUAUUCUGGGCUUAUUUUCAUUUUAGGGCUUAUUUGUGGGGAAUUAUUUUAUGUAAGGGGUUUAUUUUAAUUGUUCUUAUGGGGCCCUAUUUAAAGGGAACUUGUAAGCAGAUUAGGGUUUUAAUGCAGAAUUAAAGAAUUU
rnacentral:lncRNA from 1 species